rnacentral:tRNA from 1 species
AUCUGGGUUCGAGCUCAGUUGGUGGAGCAUGGGACUCUUUAUCUCAGGGUCGUGGGUUUGAGCCCCACCUUGGACA